GUUGCAUCAUGGAACUCACCUGACCUUCUAGCAUUAUUCAGUUUCAGUUGGCCCUGUGAAACAAAUGGAGAACUGUAUGGUGCUGCACGAGAAGCAUUUCGCACCGAGGAGAUCUUCCCUUUGGAGAUGACAUAUACAGUGCAGAAAUCAGGAUGCUCAUGGACCAAAAUUUACGAAGGUAGAGCUUCGAAACCUACAUCCUUACGCGUACAAUAGCAAUGGAAGGUAAGAAACAGAUCCUUGGUCAUCUUCUCAAGCUGCUGUUUGCGUGGCGAUUGAGAUGGAUUGC